CAGUCGCCGCGGUAAUACGUAGGUGGCAAGCGUUGUCCGGAAUUAUUGGGCGUAAAGGGCUCGCAGGCGGUUUCUUAAGUCUGAUGUGAAAGCCCCCAGCUCAACCGGGGAGGGUCAUUGGAAACUGGGAAACUUGAGUACAGAAGAGGAGAGUGGAAUUCCACGUGUAGCGGUGAAAUGCGUAGAGAUGUGGAGGAACACCAGUGGCGAAGGCGACUCUCUGGUCUGUAACUGACGCUGAGGAGCGAAAGCGUGGGGAGCGAACAGGAUUAGAUACCCCCGUAGUCCCUGUCUCUUAUAC
rnacentral:rRNA from 1 species